rnacentral:lncRNA from 1 species
AUGGGUUAGUUUCUUUAAUUGUACUUCUAGUUCUUCAAUUUUAAAUUUUGAUUAUCAGUAAGCUCAACCAAAAGGCCUUUGUCAUGAAUUAAUAUCUUAUUUUCUUCUUCAAGAUAGAAUACUCUUUUAGAAAUAUCAUCCUUCUAUAAUUUCUUGGUCUAUCUUGCAGUCAUAUUUUCUUAUCUUUCAUCAUCGAUACUUUUAUGAAUAUCUUGCCCUUAGCUUAGUCU